rnacentral:lncRNA from 1 species
UGAACACACAGCCGGCAAGAUGGAGCCUGGCUUGACCCUCGACCUCCAGCCUCAAGAGUAAUCAGACAGCUCUGAGAAGUGCUGGGAAGCAUCAAAGACAAAGAUGCCCUGGUUUCAACUCUAUGUGCUGAAUCAGUGUAUCUUCUCCCCAGUGCAUCUCCACCCAAGAAGAAGUUUUAAACUGUCCAGCUGAACAUUAUUCCCCUGAUAGGGCCCUUACUUUUGAAGUUUAGUGAAGUAAUAUGUGUAGUGAUUGUGAUACACUGCAGCACAGCACGCAGUGGCACAAUGAAAUGUGUCCUCUGCUUUUAACCCAUCACCAUUGGUGAGCAGUGGGCAGCCAUGACAGGCUCCCAGGGAGUGUGGGGACGGUACUUUGCUCGAUGACACCUUGGCGGUUUGGGAUUUGAAACCGACAAUUUCCGAUCAUGGGUCUGCUUCCUUCCUCGCUAGGCCACCACUGCCCGGUUUAUUGAUGUGCUUGGCACAACUGCUGCACACAAACAGGGACUAUACACAUGAACACAGUGCUUGCAGUUUGAGCCAAGACAUAACAGAAGCACAGUAAGAUUAAAUAGCAGAUUUGUAUGUAUUUGCUUUCACUUCCACUCACACUGUCAGAUGUGACCAUACGUGCCUAGCGCGUAGAUGUGGCAUUCCUGAGGAUCCAGUCCGGAAGGAGGUACUCCGGGUGCAGGCUUUGAACUCUGGGACAGGGUCCAAGAACCACCUGAGCAGAUUCGCAAGAAGCCGACACCACCCUCGCCGGGAGGACGGCACCAGCCUCCUUGUCCCUGGCCAGUGUUG